AUUGAACGCUGGCGGCAUGCCUAACACAUGCAAGUCGAACGAGUGGCGGACGGGUGUGUAAUGUCUGGGAAACUGCCUGAUGGAGGGGGAUACCUACUGGAAACGUUAGCUAAUACCGCAUACCAUCAGAUGUGCCCAGAUGGGAUUGGCUUGUGGGUGGGGUAACGGCUCACCAGGGCGAAGAUCCCUAGCUGGUCUGAGAGGAUGACCGGCCACACUGGAACGGGAAACCGGUCAAGACUCCUACGGGAGGCAGCAGUGGGGAAUACUGGACAAUGGGCGCAGUCCGGAUGCAGACAUGCCGGGUGUGGGAAGAAGGCUUCCGAGUUUAAAAGUACGUUCAGCGGGGAGGCGUUACCCGCAGAAGAAGCACCGGCUAACUCCGUGCCAGCAGCCGCGGUAAUAC
rnacentral:rRNA from 1 species